CUCCCCAAGGACGAAGCCAUGCAUGCCCGCUCACCCGGGACGCGGCGGACGGCUCAGGACUCCGGUUGCACCCCCCGCGGCGGUCCCUGCUAGCCGGACACCGCUGGCAACCCGGCGCCAAGAGGUGCGCGCAAGGGCGGGCGCCCGCGGGCGAGCAGCGUGACGCAGCGACGGCCCGCCCGGGCUGCCGGGGCAUCACCCGGUCGGCGCGGUCGCGGCGCGCCGAGGGCCCGAC
rnacentral:rRNA from 1 species